GACCCUGUUGAAGUCUCUGGAUUUCACGAGAAAGUUGUACAAAUUUCAGCUGGCAACCAUCAUUCUUGUGCAGUAACAGCCGAUGGUGAGCUCUUCGUUUGGGGCAAAAAUUCGAGUGGCCAGCUUGGCCUUGGCAAAAGUGCAGGAAAAGUAGUCUCUACCCCAAGAAAGGUUGACUACUUGGCUGAUGUUAGAGUGAAAAUGACUGCUUUGGGAUCAGAGCACUCAAUUGUUGUUACAGAGGAUGGUGAAGCCUUGAGUUGGGGAGCUGCUGGUGCUGGUAGACUUGGACAUGGCCAUAAAUCUAGCUUCCUGGGAUUCGCUAUGACCUCAAAUGAAUAUACUCCAAGGUUGAUAAAAAACCUUGAUGGUAUCAAGAUUAAAAGGAUAGCUGCGGGAAUGCUGCACUCAGCUUGCAUUGAUGAAAAAGGUACUGUGUUCAUGUUUGGGCAGAAGACUGAGAAGGUACUUGGAAGAUCAAAUGAUGCACCUAGACCAAGUGCUGUUGAAGAGAUACAAUUUUCAGAAGAAGUUGCUUGUGGAGGUUAUCAUACUUGCGCCGUAACAGAUCGUGGAGAUUUGUACUCUUGGGGUUCAAAUGAAAAUGGCUGCCUUGGUCUUGGAGGUACAGGCAUGGUUCGCUUCCCAGAAGUUGUAAGAAGUUCAUUAUUUAAGCUUCCUGUAUCUAAGGUAUCCUGUGGUUGGAAGCACACAGCUGCAAUUUCAGGUGAAGAUAUCUACACGUGGGGCUGGGGAGGUGCCAACGGUACCUUCUUCGAAGAGGGCCAUUCUUCUGGCGGGCAAUUAGGGCAUGGAAACGAUGUCGACUAUUGUGAGCCGAUGAUGGUAGAACUUGGCAAGAAUGCAAGUGCUGUUCAUGUAUCAUGUGGCUUCAAUCAUACAGGCGCGAUACUCGAGUACGCGGAAAACUGA
rnacentral:rRNA from 1 species